rnacentral:rRNA from 1 species
AUACGGAGGGGGCUAGCGUUGUUCGGAAUUAUUGGGCGUAAAGGGCGCGUAGGCGGCUAGGUAAGUUGGACGUGAAAUCCCGCGGCUCAACCGCGGAACUGCGUUCAAAACUGCCUGGCUUGAGUCCCGGAGAGGGUAGCGGAAUUCCCAGUGUAGCGGUGAAAUGCGUAGAUAUUGGGAGGAACACCAGUGGCGAAGGCGGCUACCUGGACGGGUACUGACGCUGAGGCGCGAAAGCGUGGGGAGCAAACAGGAUUAGAUACCCCAGUAGUCC